rnacentral:rRNA from 1 species
GAUGAACGCUGGCGGCGUGCCUAAUACAUGCAAGUCGAGCGAACAGACGAGGAGCUUGCUCCUUUGACGUUAGCGGCGGACGGGUGAGUAACACGUAGGUAACCUACCUAUAAGACUGGGAUAACUUCGGGAAACCGGAGCUAAUACCGGAUAAUAUUUCGAACCGCAUGGUUCGAUAGUGAAAGAUGGCUUUGCUAUCACUUAUAGAUGGACCUGCGCCGUAUUAGCUAGUUGGUAAGGUAACGGCUUACCAAGGCAACGAUACGUAACCGACCUGAGAGGGUGAUAGGCCACACUGGAACUGAGACACGGUCCAGACUCCUACGGUAGGCAGCAGUAGAGUAUCUUCCGCAAUGGGCGAAAGCCUGGCGGAGCAACGCCGCGUGAGUGAUGAAGGUCUUCGGAUCGUAAUACUCUGUUAUUAGGGAAGAACAAACGUGUAAGUAACUGUGCACGUCUUGACGGUACCUAGUCAGAAAGCCACGGCUAACUACGUG